rnacentral:rRNA from 1 species
UACAGAGGUGGCAAGCGUUGUUCGGAAUUACUGGGCGUAAAGGGCGCGUAGGCGGCCUUCUAAGUCAGACGUGAAAUCCCCGGCUUAACCUGGGAACUGCGUCUGAUACUGGGAGGCUUGAGUAUGGGAGAGGGAUGUAGAAUUCCAGGUGUAGCGGUGAAAUGCGUAGAUAUCUGGAGGAAUACCGGUGGCGAAGGCGGCAUCCUGUACCAUAACUGACGCUGAGGCGCGAAAGCUAGGGGAGCAAACGGG